GUGUCUAUUGAAAGGAGAGACGGCUAGCACUCACCUUGACAAGGAUGGAACACACAAUUUGGUUAAGGCACUAAUUAUGGUAGGCAGCGGCAUGGCUCUGCCCCUAGCAUUGCUGAUGU
rfam:Bombyx mori DNA, contig: Bm_scaf98_contig35619, strain: p50T/Dazao, build 2, whole genome shotgun sequence.